GCUGCACUGGCUUGUGCGUUUGGCAACUGAUAUCCUGGGGCCAAUAAAGAAAUCUAGGGAGCCGUUCCCUGAUUGGACCGUGGUCCGGAUAUAUCGGCGCCCACCUGACUUGUCAGGCCACAGAGAUUUCCACCUGCCGACGGCUAUGCUGGUGCAGCA
rnacentral:other from 1 species